rnacentral:rRNA from 1 species
AACGAACGCUGGCGGCGCGCCUAAUACAUGCAAGUCGAGCGAGAAGACGUAGCAAUACGUUUGUAAAGCGGCGAACGGGUGAGGAAUACAUGGGUAACCUACCCUCGAGUGGGGAAUAACUAGCCGAAAGGUUAGCUAAUACCGCGUACGCUCCUCGGACUUCGGUUCAGGGAGGAAAGCGAUACCGUGGGUAUCGCGCUCUUGGAUGGGCUCAUGUCCUAUCAGCUUGUUGGUGAGGUAACGGCUCACCAAGGCUUCGACGGGUAGCUGGUCUGAGAGGACGAUCAGCCACACUGGCACUGCGACACGGGCCAGACUCCUACGGGAGGCAGCAGUAAGGAAUAUUGCGCAAUGGGCGAAAGCCUGACGCAGCGACGCCGCGGUGGGGGA